UCAACUUUGACCCCAGUAGCGAAAUCGCCUGGUUCUGCAGCUCCUCCUCUCUGCAGAGCAAAGUGAGAUCUCCAUUCAAACACAUCCAAAACUCCGCAGGAUGAGACUAAAUUCUCUGCUAUUCCGCCGCUGAUCAUCACUUCGCUCCAUCGAAAGGAAAGUGACAGUGGAAACUGAAUCGAUUUCAAUCGUUAAGAGAAGUAAAUAGGUAAAUAAGUGGAUAAGAAUUCCGCCCCGUGAUACUGACUAGUGGUUGCUAGCAGGCUACUCCAACAGACUGCAAACAUGGCGAGCGCCUCAUACCAUAUCUCUAAUCUAUUGGAAAAAAUGACAUCAAGCGACAAGGAUUUCAGAUUCAUGGCCACCAACGACCUGAUGUCGGAGCUGCAGAAAGACUCCAUCAAGCUGGACGAUGACAGUGAACGCAAGGUGGUCAAGAUGAUCCUCAAGCUACUGGAAGACAAAACGGAGAGGUCCAGAAUCUGGCCGUCAAGUGCCUAGGUCCGCUGGUCAGUAAGUGUGAAGGAGUACCAGGUCGAGACUAUAGUGGACACACU